CGCCACGCUUAGCGCGUGGGGAGACAGUGUCAGGUGGGCAGUUUGACUGGGGCGGUCGCCUCCUCAAGAGUAACGGAGGCGCCCAAAGGUUCCCUCAGAAUGGAUGGAAAUCAUUCGCAGAGUGUAAGGGCACAAGGGAGCUUGACUGCGAGACUGACAAGUCGAGCAGGGACGAAAGUCGGGCUUAGUGAUCCGGUGGUUCCGCAUGGAAGGGCCAUCGCUCAACGGAUAAAAGCUACCCCGGGGAUAACA
rnacentral:rRNA from 1 species